UACCAGCACCCCGAGUGGUCGGGACGUUUAUUGGGCCUAAAGCAUCCGUAGCCGGUUCUGCAAGUCUUCCGUUAAAUCCACCUGCUUAACAGAUGGGCCGCGGAAGAUACUAUAGAGCUAGGAGGCGGGAGAGGCAAGCGGUACUCGAUGGGUAGGGGUAAAAUCCGUUGAUCCAUUGAAGAACCACCAGUGGCGAAGGCGGCUUGCCAGAACGCGCUCGACGGUGAGGGAUGAAAGCUGGGGGAGCAAAGCCGGG
rnacentral:rRNA from 1 species